rnacentral:rRNA from 1 species
GACGAACCGUGCGAACGUUGUUCGGAAUCACUGGGCUUAAAGGGCGCGUAGGCGGGGAGGUAAGUCAGGGGUGAAAGCCCACGGCCCAACCGUGGAAGUGCCUUUGAUACUGCCUGCCUCGAGGGAGGUAGGGGCGUGCGGAACUUCCGGUGGAGCGGUGAAAUGCGUAGAUAUCGGAAGGAACACCGGUGGCGAAAGCGGCGCGCUGGACCUCUUCUGACGCUGAGGCGCGAAAGCCAGGGGAGCAAACGGG